rnacentral:rRNA from 1 species
UUCCGGUUGAUCCCGCCGGACCCCACUGCUAUCGAGAUGGGACUAAGGUAUGCUAGUCGAACGACCAGAACUAUGUCUGGGAGUGGCACACUGCUCAGUAACACGUAGCUAACCUACCCUUAGGACGUGGAUACCCCCGAGAAAUUGGGGUUAAUCCGCGAUAGAUGUAAUGUCCUGGAAUGGUAUUACGUCUAAAGGUAUUUCAUACAUGUUUGAAAUAUGCCUAAGGAUGGGGCUGCGGCCGAUCAGGCUGUUGGUGAGGUAAUGGCUCACCAAACCUUUGACCGGUACGGGCCAUGAGAGUGGUAGCCCGGAGAUGGACACUGAGACAAGGGUCCAGGCCCUAAGGGGCGCAGCAACCGCGAAACCUCCACAAUGCACUCACGUGCGAUGGGGCUAUCUCGAGUGCCACCUGAUGAAGGUGGCUUUUCCUAGGUCUUCAAAGCCUUGGGAAUAAGAGGGGGGCAAGACUGGUGUCAGCCGCCGCGGUAACACCAGCCCCUCGAGUGGUGGGGAUGAUUAUUUGGCCUAAAGCGUCCGUAGCCGGCCGAGCAAGUCUUCCGUUAAAUCCAGCGUCUCAAGCGUUGGACUGCGGGAGAUACUGCAGGGCUAGAGAGUGGGAGAGGUCAGCGGUAUUCUGGGGGUAGGGGCGAAAUCCUUUGAUCCCCGGAGGACCACCAGUGGCGAAGGCUGCUGACUAGAACACGUCUGACGGUCAGGGACGAAAGCUGGGGUAGCGAACCGGAUUAGAUACC